rnacentral:rRNA from 1 species
ACGAAGGGGGCUAGCGUUGUUCGGAAUUACUGGGCGUAAAGGGCGCGUAGGCUGUGCUGUAAGUCAGGCGUGAAAUCCCCGGGCUCAACCUGGGAAUUGCGUUUGAUACUGCGGCGCUGGAAUGCAGGAGAGGAUGGCGGAAUUCCCGGUGUAGCAGUGAAAUGCGUAGAGAUCGGGAGGAACAUCUGUGGCGAAGGCGGCCACCUGGGCCAACACUGACACUGAGGCACGAAAGCGUGGGGAGCAAACAGGA